GAUGAAGAACGCAGUGAAAUGCGAUAAGUAAUGUGAAUUGCAGAAUUCAGUGAAUCAUCGAAUCUUUGAACGCGCAUUGCGCCCCUUGGUAUUCCGGGGGGCAUGCCUCUUCCAGCGUCAUUUCACCCCUCAAGCUCUGCUUGGUUUUGGGCCGCGCCGGCAACGGCGGGCCUCGAAAAUAGUGGCGACGCCAUCGUGCUCUCAGCGUAGUAAUUCUUCUCGCUGUUGGGUCCCGGUGGUCGUCCGCCAGCAACCCCCAACUUUCUUAAGUUUGACCUGGGAUGAGGUAGGGAUACCCGCUGAACUUAAGCAUAUCAAUAAGCGGAGGA
rnacentral:misc_RNA from 1 species